GACGAACGCUGGCGGCGUGCCUAAUACAUGCAAGUCGAACGAAGCUGUUUUAACUGGUGCUUGCACCGACUUAAGCAACUGAGUGGCGAACGGGUGAGUAACACGUGGGUAACCUGCCCCAAAGCGGGGGAUAACAUUUGGAAACAGAUGCUAAUACCGCAUAACCACAGAAACCACAUGGUUUCUGUGUCAAAGAUGGUUUCGGCUAUCACUUUGGGAUGGACCCGCGGCGUAUUAGCUAGUUGGUAAGGUAAUGGCUUACCAAGGCAAUGAUACGUAGCCGAACUGAGAGGUUGAUCGGCUACAUUGGGACUGAGACACGGCCCAAACUCCUACGGGAGGCAGCAGUAGGGAAUCUUCCACAAUGGACGAAAGUCUGAUGGAGCAACGCCGCGUGAGUGAAGAAGGUUUUCGGAUCGUAAAACUCUGUUGUCAGAGAAGAACGUGUGCGAGAGUAACUGCUCGUGCAGUGACGGUAUCUGGCCAGAAAGCCACGGCUAACUACGUGCCAGCCGCCGCGGUAA
rnacentral:rRNA from 1 species